rnacentral:lncRNA from 1 species
UCCUCUACUAAUUCCAACUUUGAUGUUGCUUCAUCCAUGAAACAGAUUGAUAAUGAUAAAAUCACAACUAUGAUCAUAACUUCUUACAUCUACAACUACGAACCAGAAAGCUCCGCAACUUCUACGAAUGCAAAAAACAAAAUUAUCUAAUAUACUACCAAGGUCUAGAGACGAUAACCAAACAAUGCGAGUUUAGUGGAGACGCCAAAGAACUUGUCUUCAUCUUCUUGCUGCUGAGUACACACACCCAAGUUCUUGAUUUUAUCUAUCGUUGAUGUGGCGGUAGACGACCAGAAUGCUUAUGUUUGUGCCCAUGUUUACUCUUUCUCACUCCACUGCGCUGCUGAUGAUGAUGGUGGUGGUGUUUCUUUUCAGAAUUUUCGGUAAUCAAGAUCUGCUUAAGCCUGAUCUUUAAGGGAUCGGAAGUGGGUAUGACUGUGUAGUGGAAACGAGGAGAAGAGAGUGGAUGCUUGAUGAUCAGACGCACCAUGAUUGUAUCUCAGUAAUCAACUAGUUAAGAAGAUGUAGCUUCGAAA